rnacentral:rRNA from 1 species
CCUACGGGAGGCAGCAGUAGGGAAUCUUCCACAAUGGGCGAAAGCCUGAUGGAGCAACGCCGCGUGGGUGAAGAAGGUCUUCGGAUCGUAAAACCCUGUUGUUAGAGAAGAAAGUGCGUGAGAGUAACUGUUCACGUUUCGACGGUAUCUAACCAGAAAGCCACGGCUAACUACGUGCCAGCAGCCGCGGUCAUACGUAGGUGUCAAGCGUUAUCCGGAUUUAUUGGGCGUAAAGGGAACGCAGGCGGUCUUUUAAGUCUGAUGUGAAAGCCUUCGGCUUAACCGGAGUAGUGCAUUGGAAACUGGGAGACGUGAGUGCAGAAGAGGAGAGUGGAACUCCAGGGGUAGCGGUGAAAUGCGUAGAUAUAUGGAAGAACACCAGUGGCGAAAGCGGCUCUCUGGUCUGUAACUGACGCUGAGGUUCGAAAGCGUGGGUAGCAAACAGGAUUAGAUACCCCAGUAGUC